rnacentral:rRNA from 1 species
AUGUUGGCCGAGGGCACUCAAUGGACCCUCUCCUGUGUCUACAGCCCCCAAGGAGAGCAAGAGAAGCUGAUCUUCAUCAAUGAGCUCAGGGGCCUAAAAUUUUUAGUCAAGCCGAGCUGGCUAAUUCUUGGUGAUUUCAACCUUUUGACCAAAGCGGCUGACAAGAACAACCGAAACAUCAAUCGACACCUUAUUGGCAGUUUCCGUGGCGCUCUCAACCACCUACAGCUAAAAGAGAUCCGGUUGUCUGGACGCAAGUUCACUUGGUCAAAUGCUCAAGACACCCCAGUGCUAACAAAGAUCGACCAUUUCUUCCAUACCGAUGAUUGGGACUUGCUUUUUCCCAAUGCGCAUCUCCAGGCCAUCUCCUCUGCUUGCUCGGAUCAUGCCCCGCUUUUUCUCCAGGGGGACAACUGUUGGGUUUCGUAG